GAUGAACGCUGGCUGCGGGCCUAAUACAUGCAAGUCGAGCGGACACACGAUCAGCUCUUUCUACUGCCGUUAGCGGCGGACGGACGGGUAACAAGUGCGUAACCUACCUAUAAGCCUGUGUUGACUUCGGGAAACCAGGGCUGAUAACUGAUAACAUGUUGAACCACUCCGCUUAACAGUGAGAGACGAUCUUUCUGUGUCGUAUAGGUGGAUCCGCGCCGCAUUAUCUAGUUGGUAAGGUAACGCCUUACCAAGGCAACGAUGCGUAGCCGACCUGAGAGGGUGAUCGGCCACACUGGAACUGAGACACGGUCCAGACUCCUACGGGAGGCAGCAGUAGGGAAUCUUCCGCAAUGGGCGAAAGCCUGACGGAGCAACGCCGCGUGAGUGAAGAAGGUCUUCGGAUCGUAAAACUCUGUUAUUAGGGAAGAACAAAUGUGUAAGUAACUAUGCACGUCUUGACGGUACCUAAUCAGAAAGCCACGGCUAACUACGUG
rnacentral:rRNA from 1 species